GGUAGCUACACCGGCCCCUAAAUGGACGAGUUUGUCCAUUUAAUCUAAUUAGUGCUACCAAUCCUACAAAGUGACAAACAACAACUUGUCAGUAGUUCUUAAUAUAUCAACAUCAAAGUCUCUUCAACAAUGUUAUUCCAGUUCCAACCGACAUAACUUGUGUAUUGGACGAGUAAGGAUUGUGCUCGUUGUUUUCAAUUCACCACGACGUUGCCGCUUCGCCCGUGUAACAACAGUCGAACUUGUUUUUACAUUAACUGUCCGUACCAAUCCGUCAUCACUCGCGAAGAUUUCCACCACUCUGCCAACAGGCCAUUGUCCUCUAGGAUAAUUUCCAUCCAUAAUCAGCACUAGAUCAUCAACUUUCCAGUUUGGUUGCUUGUUAUUCCACUUCUGGCGCUCUGGUAGAGAAGGAAGAUAUUCCUUCAACCACCUCUUCCAGAACACAUUCACCAUAUAUUGGGCUUGUCUCCAACGGCGCUGAGUGUGUAGAUCUGAAUCAUCAAAAAUUCCAGGUGGUAGAGUGGGACAUGGUCUCAAUUUUAGUAGAUGAUUGGGUGUUAUGGGUUGUUCGUUGCUUGGAUCAUCACUGUUGCGCGUCAGUGGACGGCUGUUCAGAAUAUUCGUCGCUUCUGACAUAACUGUCGCCAAAACUUCAUCACAUACCACUUGUUCUUUCAUUAUAAAGCUCGCAAGACUUGGCGUGUUGAUAUAAUCAUCCGUUCCCAAACUCCACCAAAGUGACUUGCGUCUGGUGGAUUGAAUAGCCACUGAAUACCCUUUUGGUUACAAAAGUUCUCGAUUUUCUCUUGGUUCCAUUUCUGUAUUGCAGCUGUCAACUCCUUGUCGGCACCUUUAAAAUUUGUUCCACGGUCAC